UUGAAUUUUAUUUUUUAUAAUUUAAAUAUUAAUAAAUCAAUUUGUUAAAUUAAUUAAAUUUUAACUGUAAAGGUUAAAAAUAAAUAUUAUUUCAAUAAUUAUAGUAUGUACCUUUUGCAUAAUGGUUUUAUAAAAAAUAUUAUUGUUUAAUUUCCCGAAAUUAACUGAGUUAAAAUAUUUAAUUUUUAAUGUAGCAAAAUUAAAGGAAAAAAUAUUUUAGAAAUGAAAUGUUAACGUAGUUGAUAAUAUCUGGUUAUUUAAUAUAAAUUUUAGAUUUAAAAUUUUAUUUAUUUAUUUUUUUAUGGAUAAGCAUAAAAAAAUUUAAUAGAUUAAAUAAUAAUUUUUAAAAUUAUUAAUAUAAUUAAUGUUAGUUUAAUAAUAAUUUAUAAUUUUGUUUUUAAUCUUUAAUAAAUAAUUAAAUUUUAUUUAAUAAUUUUUUUGAUAAUAAAAAUGUAAAAAUUAGUAUAUAAAUUUUAUAAGUAAUAUAUAGUUAAUUAAAUAAAAGGAAUUCGGCAAAUGAUAUUUCAUCUGUUUAUCAAAAACAUUGCUUUUUGAAAAUAUAAAAAGUAAUACCUGCCCAAUGAAUUAUUUAAAUGGCCGCAGUAUUUUGACUGUGCAAAGGUAGCGUAAUCAUUUGUUUUAUAAAUUAAAACUUGUAUGAAUGGAAAAAUGUAAAUAUAACUGUCUUUUAUUUAUAUAUAAAAUUUGCUUUUUCAGUGAAGAAGCUGAACUAUUUUAAAAAGACGAAAAGACCCUAUGAGUUUUAAAUAUUUAUAUUAUAAUUUAUAUAAAUAUUUUUGAUUGGGGCGAUUAAAGAAUAAAUCUUCUUUUUGAAAUUUAAAAUUAUAAUUUUAGAUCCAUUAUUAAUGAAUAAAAGCUUAAGUUACCAUAGGGAUAACAGCAUAAUUUUUUUAAGAGUACAUAUUGACAAAAAAGAUUGUGACCUCGAUGUUGGUUUAAGAAAAUUUUAUAAUGAAGCAGUUAUAAAAAUAAGUUUGUUCAACUUUUAAAUUCUUACAUGAUCUGAGUUCAAAUCGAUGUAAGCCAGAUUGGUUUCUAUCUUUUAAAUUUAAAAAUAUUUAUACUAGUACGUAAGGACAAUAUAAUAUUUAUUAU
rnacentral:rRNA from 1 species